GGUGCGCCUUGCUGUUUUGGGAGCACUACAGUUAGGCGGCAGUAGAAGAGUGCGCACGAAGCAGAGAAGCAGCGCCACAUAGCCUCAGAAGCACAGUGUUAGACAGACAGAAAAGUGUAUCGCACGGCGCACAGCGCACAGCAUAAACUCGUAUCGAAUCCAAUCGUCUCUGAACGGCAGCAACGAGCUCCUGCUAGCAAGCCAAUAAAACACAAACUAAUUGAAAGCGUGUGAAGUAAUCGCAAAUUGAAUUUUUAAAAUAGUAAAAAAAAGAACAAUCAGCUUUACUGGCGAAACUGAUUAGUAGUAUAUAAAAUAAGUAAGACAAAAAAAAAAUACGAAAAAAAUUGUUUGGUGUUUAAGAAGCGGCACGAAGCAGGAUAGCUGUAAAACGCAUCUAAAGCCGUCUUGUUUUCUAUACAAUUGAUAUGGUGUUCUGGUCCUGCUGCCUAUAGCGGUAAAGAGUUUGCAAAGCCAAAAACAGUGAAGCCUUUAAGGCAGCUCAAGCAAAAUUUUUUUUCUUUCGAUUGGUGUAUAUGCAAUGUGAGGUGAAGUAAGCCACACAAGCCGGAGGACAACACGCAGUGAAAAAAAUUUACGGUUUUUUCCGUUUGUUUUCUUCCAUCUUUCCGCAUCUAUCUAGCUGCUGUCCUCUUCUCUGAUAGUUUUCACUGAACUUGACAGACUCACUAAAGCUAUCUCUAGCUCUUGACGCGUUUAAAAGAGACAACUGUGUUUCAACCACAAUAACAACAACAAAAGCAUUAACUAUACUAACUUCAACUAAAGCAAGAACUUUUACAACACAGCUGAGUUACUCGAACUUUGCUGUGUCUUUGCUCGUAAACUUUGCAGUUAAAACAAAG
rnacentral:lncRNA from 1 species